GACGAACGCUGGCGGCGUGCUUAACACAUGCAAGUCGAGCGGUAAGGCCCUUUUGGGGGUACACGAGCGGCGAACGGGUGAGUAACACGUGGGUGACCUGCCUUCAGCUUCGGGAUAAGCUUGGGAAACUGGGUCUAAUACCGGAUAUGACUUGGCCUCGCAUGGGGUUGGGUGGAAAGUUUUUUCGGCUGGAGAUGGGCCCGCGGCCUAUCAGCUUGUUGGUGGGGUGAUGGCCUACCAAGGCGACGACGGGUAGCCGGCCUGAGAGGGCGACCGGCCACACUGGGACUGAGAUACGGCCCAGACUCCUACGGGAGGCAGCAGUGGGAAUCUUGCGCAAUGGGCGGAAGCCUGACGC
rnacentral:rRNA from 1 species